UCAAAUGCGGGAUACGCCUAACUACAAGCGGUAAACCAGGGAAGGGUGCCAUGGCUGGAAGCACCUUUACACGGAGUAGUUAAGGUACCACCCCAUUUCUUGCCCCCCGAAAUAAGGGGGACCGGGUCGUGCCCGUUACCACACCAUAGAGAGGAUUUUAAAUCCUGAAGAUGGGUGGAACCACGCUGAAGUUGUUAUUUUCAACGUCCCUAAC
rnacentral:ncRNA from 1 species